UGCAAGCACCAGCUUAUCCACGCUCUCCGAUCUCGUGUCUAUUUCUCUUUCUCUCUCCCUCUCUUGCGCUGUCCCUUAUUCAGUCACUCUUCCAUCUUUUUGCCAUUGUGCCAGCUCAAUUUAAAUGUAUCUGCUCUGUAUCUGUUCAAGUGGAGAUAAUCCAUGCAAAUCAGGAGCAGAGGUUUUCCAUGCUUGGUUCACAGAGAGGACUCAGCUUGAGGAGGUCACUCGUUCACAGCCGCUCCUCCCAUUAUAUUUUUCCCCUUAUUGCAGAACUGCUGUAUGUAUACAGUGACUGAAAGGACUCAAUUUACUGCAGCUGCCGCCUGGCUUUACUCACAACUUUUUUUUUUAUAAAGGAACUUACCUCCAUCUGUCUCUUCAAGCAGAAAUAUAUUCAUCAAUCCAGACACUUAUAUCUUCAGAUCCUCGGGUUUUAAUAAAGAGACUUGGCACCAGCAUUUCUUCUCAGUAAACCUUGAAGGGGAAGACUCCCUGCCGACCACACACUCGACGGCUUCAUGUUAGGUGGCUAUAAUCUUAAUCCAAAGAAGAGUGGAUUUAUAUUUUCGUUGAAAGGAAGACGUCUGAGAAAGUCCAAUGUUAAGAUCUUCAUCAAUGCCAGAAGAACUAUCACUAAAGCAUAAAGGCAACAUCAAAUUUUGUUGUCCCCUGAAAAUGAAACCUGAUUUAAUCUUAAAUCUGAGAUGUUUGUAAACACAAAACUCAGGCCAACUUCCUGUCCCUAAAAAAAUAAAAUAAAAUAAAAAUUAAGUCUUAGUACUAGA